UGGGGAAUUUUGGACAAUGGGCGAAAGCCUGAUCCAGCAAUGCCGCGUGUGAGAAGGCAGCUUCGGGUUGUAAAGCACUUUUGUCCGGAAAGAAAUCCUUGGCUCUAAUACAGUCGGGGGAUGACGGUACCGGAAGAAUAAGCACCGGCUAACUACGUGCCAGCAGCCGCGGUAAUACGUAGGGUGCAAGCGUUAAUCGGAAUUACUGGGCGUAAAGCGUGCGCAGGCGGUUUGCUAAGACCGAUGUGAAAUCCCCGGGCUCAACCUGGGAACUGCAUUGGUGACUGGCAGGCUAGAGUAUGGCAGGAGGGGGGUAGAAUUCCACGUGUAGCAGUGAAAUGCGUAGAGAUGUGGAGGAAUACCGAUGGCGAAGGCAGCCCCCUGGGCCAAAUACUGACGCUCAUGCACGAAAGCGUGGGGAGCAAAACAGGAUUAGAUACCCUGGUAGUCCACGCCCUAAACGAUGUCAACUAGUUGUUGGGGAUUCAUUCCUUAGUAACGUAGCUAACGCGUGAAGUUGACCGCCUGGGGAGUACGGUCGCAAGAUUAAAACUCAAAGGAAUUGACGGGGUCAUA
rnacentral:rRNA from 1 species